rnacentral:rRNA from 1 species
GAUGAACGCUGGCGGCGUGCCUAAUACAUGCAAGUCGAGCGAACAGACGAGGAGCUUGCUCCUCUGACUUUAGCGGCGGACGGGUGAGUAACACGUGGAUAACCUACCUAUAAGACUGGGAUACCUUCGGGAAACCGGAGCUAAUACCGGAUAAUAUAUUGAACCGCAUGGUUCAAUAGUGAAAUACGGUUUUGCUGUCACUUAUAGAUGGAUCCGCGCCGCAUUAGCUAGUUGGUAAGGUAACGGCUUACCAAGGCAACGAUGCGUAGCCGACCUGAGAGGCUGAUCGGCCACACUGGAACUGAGACACGGUCCAGACUCCUACGGGAGGCAGCAGUAGGGAAUCUUCCGCAAUGGGCGAAAGCCUGACGGAGCAACGCAGCGUGAGUGAUGAAGGUCUUCGGAUCGUAAAACUCUGUUAUUAGGGAAGAACAAAUGUGUAAGUAACUAUGCACGUCUUGACGGUACCUAAUCAGAAAGCCACGGCUAACUACGUG